rnacentral:rRNA from 1 species
GAUGAACGCUGACAGAAUGCUUAACACAUGCAAGUCAACUGUGGCGGACGGGUGAGUAACGCGUAAAGAACUUGCCUCACAGAUAGGGACAACAUUUGGAAACGAAUGCUAAUACCUGAUACUGUGAGAGAGCUUUGCGUCCCAUUAGCUAGUUGGAGAGGUAACGGCUCACCAAGGCGAUGAUGGGUAGCCGGCCUGAGAGGGUGAUCGGCCACAAGGGGACUGAGACACGGCCCUUACUACUACGGGGGACAGCAGUGAGGAAUGUUGGACAAAGGACCAGAGUCUGAUACAGCAAUUCUGUGUGAAAGAUGAAGUUUUCGGAAGGUAAAGUGCUUUCAGUUGGGAAGCGGUACCGACAGAAGAAGUGACGGCUAAAUACGUGCCAGCCGCCGCGGUAAUUC